GUGAACACGGAGCUUGCUCUGUGGGAUCAGUGGCGAACGGGUGAGUAACACGUGAGCAACCUGCCCCUGACUCUGGGAUAAGCGCUGGAAACGGCGUCUAAUACUGGAUAUGUGACGUGAUCGCAUGGUCUGCGUCUGGAAAGAAUUUCGGUUGGGGAUGGGCUCGCGGCCUAUCAGCUUGUUGGUGAGGUAAUGGCUCACCAAGGCGUCGACGGGUAGCCGGCCUGAGAGGGUGACCGGCCACACUGGGACUGAGACACGGCCCAGACUCCUACGGGAGGCAGCAGUGGGGAAUAUUGCACAAUGGGCGCAAGCCUGAUGCAGCAACGCCGCGUGAGGGACGACGGCCUUCGGGUUGUAAACCUCUUUUAGCAGGGAAGAAGCGAAAGUGACGGUACCUGCAGAAAAAGCGCCGGCUAACUACGUGCCAGCAGCCGCGGUAAUACGUAGGGCGCAAGCGUUAUCCGGAAUUAUUGGGCGUAAAGAGCUCGUAGGCGGUUUGUCGCGUCUGCUGUGAAAUCCGGAGGCUCAACCUCCGGCCUGCAGUGGGUACGGGCAGACUAGAGUGCGGUAGG
rnacentral:rRNA from 1 species